UCUUCUUCUUCUUCCUCACACCCCACCACCCCAUUUUUCUUCUUCUUCCUUAUAAAUCUAAACAUAUAGAGAGAUGGGAUCAAUUAUUGUAGUGUAGUGCUUGCACCCAAAACAAUUUCAAGAAGGAAAAAAGGAAACAUAAAUUCAACAAAUACAAAUUUCAAACAUCAUGAUUUUAAUUUCACAACAAACACAAAUUCAAUCGUAAAAAU
rnacentral:lncRNA from 1 species